rfam:Butyrivibrio sp. CAG:318 genomic scaffold, scf39
GCUGAUUUUUGGCCGAUACCGUAGACAGCAGGUGCCGUAAGGCAUAAGUUGAUAACGCCUGCCGAGGAGAUUUAAGCACGAUAUGACUUAUUUAUGCCUCCUGUGUCUGCGGGAGGCAUUUUUGAUUAUUAUA